CCUUCCUUAGAGACUAGAUCUGGAGAUAUGCAAAUCUAUCAUUAAUUUCUUGGAACAAAAUUUGAUUCCUCUUUUCUUUGAUGCAUAAUACUGUAAUUCACUCUUGACGGAGAUAUUCAUCUUUUGCUUUGGGCAGCUGUUUGAUUGAUACUCCUUCCUUUCAAGUCUUUUGCUAAGUAUCUUUGAUUAUUUUCUUUUACCCUAAACCUGCAAAAUUGUCAUUCAUUGAAAUUAGACAUUACCAAUCUCCCCAUUUUUGAUGGAUGACGACUUAAAAAAAUAAUGUGUCCGGUUUACCUGUUAGGCUCCCCCGG
rnacentral:lncRNA from 1 species